GAUGAACGCUGGCGGCGUGCCUAAUACAUGCAAGUCGAGCGAACAGACGAGGAGCUUGCUCCUCUGACGUUAGCGGCGGACGGGUGAGUAACACGUGGAUAACCUACCUAUAAGACUGGGAUAACUUCGGGAAACCGGAGCUAAUACCGGAUAAUAUAUUGAACCGCAUGGUUCAAUAGUGAAAGACGGUUUUGCUGUCACUUAUAGAUGGAUCCGCGCCGCAUUGGCUAGUUGGUAAGGUAACGGCUUACCAAGGCGACGAUGCGUAGACGACCUGAGAGGGUGAUCGGCCACACUAGAACGGAGACACGGUCCAGACUCCUACGGGAGGCAGCAGUAGGGUAUCUUCCGCAAUGGGCGAGAGCCUGACGGAGCAACGCCGCGUGAGUGAUGAAGGUCUUCGGAUCGUAAAACUCUGUUAUUAGGGAAGAACAAAUGUGUAAGUAACUAUGCACGUCUUGACGGUACCUAAUCAGAAAGCCACGGCUAACUACGUG
rnacentral:rRNA from 1 species